GUGGGAGCGAGCCUGCUCGCGAUGGCGUCAGCACAUUCAGCGUUGAUGUGACUGAAAGAUCGCAAUCGCGAGCAGGCUCACUCCCAC
rnacentral:misc_RNA from 1 species